CUACGGACGUUGCCGCUAGGUUUCGACCUUCUUUCUCUCAAUGAAUUGAUUGAAGUUUAAAGUCGGCCUCUAGUGUACGCGCGUACGUGUGCCUGGGCGUUUCGCGUGACUGUGCGCGGUUGCGAAAGCACCGCGCUAAAGCGCGUCGCCUCAAGUCUUGAAAGAGAUUCGGUUAGCUCUGAGUUUCUCUCGAAACGCCGAUCGAUUCCCGGUGUCUCUUGGCUCGGUAACUGUGGUGCAGCGAGUCAGCAAACGGAGUUUUGGACACUCUUGCCUUUUUUUAAAGAAAAGGUUUCGAGUCUUUUCAAAAUCACCUCCUCCUGCGAUUGACGCGCGGACCGGCCGAGCGUGAGCGCUUGAUUCGGACGUUGUGUCGCACAUCGUUUUUUUUUGAACGUGACUUUGUGCGGCGACGUUUCCGGAGAUGCUCGCGGCUCGUGUGCUGUUUGUUCCGUUAUGCGCGGUCGAUCGUGGUUUUGUUACGGGGGUAACCUUUGAACGCGAAAAGACGAGAAUUGCUGAAGUAGCAUAAGAAGCACGUAUUAUUUUGAAAACCCGAGUUAAAACACGCAAGAGACCGAGUUAUUGGAAGAUUGGCAAACCGUAGAGAAGCGUAGAACGCUGCGGGCUUUCCGAAC
rnacentral:misc_RNA from 1 species